rnacentral:lncRNA from 1 species
GAUAAAGAGCCAAACAGUGAACUCCACCCACCGGAGUCUUUCAAGUGAUCAGUCUUCCAUGAACCAUUAGGGUUCCCAGUUGUGUGGCUGAGGAAUGCAACACGUCUAAUCGCACAAUACGAGCUGGGAGCUUUCAAGAUAAGCCUUACAUCAGCUUCUGCCAGGAGAUGCCUCCACGUUCUGUGAUUAUGAUAUUGCUAGGCGAAAUUGAAAAUAGAAAAGGUUGAAGAAAAAUUCGUGCAUUGCAUGGCAACUUGCAGGGAAAACUCUCUAAACGUGCACUCUGAAGAAAUCUCUCAUGCACUGUUUUUGUUUCUUGGUGACGUGCGCACACUGCACAGAAGUUAACAACAUACAUGUAUGUGAAGUCCAAAUCAAC